GAUUGAAUGGUCCGGUGAAGUGUUCGGAUCGCGGCGACGUGGGCGGUCCUGCUGCCGGCGACGUCGCGAGAAGUCCACUGAACCUUAUCAUUUAGAGGAAGGAGAAGUCGUAACAAGGUUUCCGUAGGUGAACCUGCGGAAGGAUCAUUGUCGAAACCUGCAAGGCAGAACGACCCGUGGACAGUUUGUGGCUCCUCAUUCUCGAGCGGCGGGGCCUUCGUGCCCAUCCGCUCGUCGCCCCAGGGCUAGGGACGUGGGCUCGGCCCACGCUCGCUAUCCUUGGGUGCAUACAACAAACCCCGGCGCAGAUCGCGCCAAGGAACAAGAAAGAAAGAGAGACGCGCUCCCAUGGUCCCGGAUACGGUGCGCCACGGGCAGCGUCGUCGAUGUGAGUAUUCGAAACGACUCUCGGCAACGGAUAUCUCGGCUCUCGCAUCGAUGAAGAACGUAGCGAAAUGCGAUACUUGGUGUGAAUUGCAGAAUCCCGUGAACCAUCGAGUUUUUGAACGCAAGUUGCGCCCGAAGCCGUCUGGCCGAGGGCACGUCUGCCUGGGUGUCAAGAAACGUCGCCAAACGUCCCUCUCCGCACCCUCCCCACCCGAGGGGGGUGAGCAUCGAGGGCGGGCGGAUAUUGGCCUCCCGUGCGCGAUUGCUCGCGGUUGGCCCAAAAGAGAGUACCCCGGCGAGGCAGCCACGGCGUGCGGUGGUAGAAAGCGUAUGCUCUCCUCGGACACCGUCGUGGGCCGACCUCGUGGGGGCAGGAAAGACUAACUAAGGCCCCGAUGCGAAGUCGUGUUUCGCGAAGCGACCCCAGGUCAGGCGGGAGCACCCGCUGAGUUUAAGCAUAUCAAUAAGCGGAGGAAAAGAAACUUACGAGGAUUCCCCUAGUAACGGCGAGCGAACCGGGAACAGCCCAGCUUGAGAAUCGGAUGCCCUCGGCGUUCGAAUUGUAGUCUGGAGAAGCG
rnacentral:misc_RNA from 1 species